rnacentral:rRNA from 1 species
UGGGGAAUAUUGGGCAAUGGGCGCAGGCCUGACCCAGCCAUGCCGCGUGAGGGAUGAAGGCCUUCGGGUCGUAAACCUCUGUCAGGAGGGACGAUGGGACUUCGGUCUUGACGGUACCUCCAGAGGAAGCCCCGGCUAACUCCGUGCCAGCAGCCGCGGUAAUACGGAGGGGGCAAGCGUUGCUCGGAUUUACUGGGCGUAAAGGGUCCGCAGGCGGUUGAGCAAGUUAGAUGUGAAAGCUCAAGGCUUAACCUUGGAAUUGCAUCUAAAACUGCACGACUAGAGUCCAAGAGGGGUUGGCGGAAUUCCCGGUGUAGCGGUGAAAUGCGGAGAUAUAGGGAGGAACACCAGUGGCGAAGGCGGCCAACUGGCUUGGUACUGACGCUCAGGGACGAAAGCGUGGGUAGCGAACCGGAGUAGAUACCCGCGUAGUCC